CACGUAGGGCGCAAGCGUUGUCCGGAAUGAUUGGGCGUAAAGCGUCCGCAGGUGGCUAUGUAAGUCUGCUGUUAAAGAGUGAGGCUCAACCUCAUAAGAGCAGUGGAAACUACAUGGCUAGAGUGCGUUCGGGGCAGAGGGAAUUCCUGGUGUAGCGGUGAAAUGCGUAGAUAUCAGGAAGAACACCGGUGGCGAAAGCGCUCUGCUAGGCCGCAACUGACACUGAGGGACGAAAGCUAGGGGAGCGAAUGGG
rnacentral:rRNA from 1 species